AAACUUUUAGUAUAAUAUAGUAUUUUUAAUUGCAAAUUAAAAGGUUUCAAAAGUUUU
rnacentral:tRNA from 1 species